rnacentral:rRNA from 1 species
GACGAACGCUGGCGGCGUGCCUAACACAUGCAAGUCGAGCGGAGAAACAAAAGAGCAGCUUGCUGCGAUUUGUUUCUUAGCGGCGGACGGGUGAGUAACGCGUGGGGUAAUCUGCCUCAAACAGGGGGAUAACACAGGGAAACUUGUGCUAAUACCGCAUAAGACCCCACCAUGGCAUCAUGGAGAGGUCAAAGGAAGAAAUUCCGGUUUGAGAUGAGCCCGCGUCUGAUUAGCUAGUUGGUGAGGUAACGGCUCACCAAGGCGACGAUCAGUAGCCGAACUGAGAGGUUGAUCGGCCACAUUGGGACUGAGACACGGCCCAGACUCCUACGGGAGGCAGCAGUGGGGAAUAUUGCACAAUGGGGGAAACCCUGAUGCAGCGACGCCGCGUGAAGGAAGAAGGCCCUCGGGGUUGUAAACUUCUUUUGACCAGGGACGAAGAAAGUGACGGUACCUGGAGAACAAGCCACGGCUAACUACGUGCCAGCAGCCGCGGUAAGGU